GCCGGGGUGGCGAAAUUGGUAGACGCACUUGGCUUAGGACCAAGCGGAGUGAUCCAUGGAGGUUCGAGUCCUCUCCCCGGCA
rnacentral:tRNA from 1 species